rnacentral:rRNA from 1 species
CCUACGGGCGGCAGCAGUGGGGAAUAUUGGACAAUGGGCGAAAGCCUGAUCCAGCCAUGCCGCGUGUGUGAAGAAGGCCUUCGGGUUGUAAAGCACUUUCAGUGGGGAAGAAAGCCUUGGGGCUAAUACCCUCGAGGAAGGACAUCACCAACAGAAGAAGCACCGGCUAACUCCGUGCCAGCAGCCGCGGUAAUACGGAGGGUGCGAGCGUUAAUCGGAAUUACUGGGCGUAAAGCGCGCGUAGGCGGUCUGAUAAGCCGGUUGUGAAAGCCCCGGGCUCAACCUGGGAACGGCAUCCGGAACUGUCAGGCUAGAGUGCAGGAGAGGAAGGUAGAAUUCCCGGUGUAGCGGUGAAAUGCGUAGAGAUCGGGAGGAAUACCAGUGGCGAAGGCGGCCUUCUGGACUGACACUGACGCUGAGGUGCGAAAGCGUGGGUAGCAAACAGGAUUAGAUACCCGGGUAGUC